rnacentral:rRNA from 1 species
UACGUAGGUGGCAAGCGUUGUCCGGAUUUACUGGGUUUAAAGGGUGCGUAGGCGGCUUAUUAAGUCAGUGGUGAAAUACUCUAGCUCAACUAGAGGGGUGCCAUUGAUACUGAUGAGCUUGAGUACAGAUGAGGUAGGCGGAAUUGACGGUGUAGCGGUGAAAUGCUUAGAUAUCGUCAAGAACACCUAUAGCGAAGGCAGCUUACUAGGCUGUAACUGACGCUGAGGCACGAAAGUGUGGGGAUCAAACAGG